CCCACACACGGAGCAGGUAGGAGAAUGAUCCCACAUUCUAUCAACACGGGGAAGACGGCACGCCCAACGGUGAUGUAAUGGAGAGAGCCUACUCCCUGGGGGAGGCCGGGAAGAGCCCCCCGUGAGAAGAGGACCCGGGAGCAGAGAACCAGAGCGGGCCAGCCGUGUCCACGGCCGAUGGAAGGCAGGCCACGCCCACUAGAGCCAGCGGGUGGGGCAGGGAGGGAGGACAGGGAGGAGCUGGGGUGUAGAGGUCAGCCGGGACCGCGUCCUGGGGCGUCUUCGCAGGGAGACGCCUGGGUGUCACUCAGAGAGUGAUGGGCGGCCUUAGCAAAGGAGCACGGGACCCGAUUUGCAUCCAGAAUGCGGCGGCUGGCUCAGCGUGGAAGGACCGGAGAGAAGCCAGCCAGGCCGUGGGGCGUGGGGAGCUCAGGCCUCCAGGGAUGAGAAAGGCCAGGAAUCAGGAUGUUCAGUUCAUGGCCCACCCAGGGAGGCCCAGGGAAGAAUCUGGCACUACCCAUCAAAAUCAAGAGACAGAUCCACGCUCUUAGGAGUGAAGACAGUCAUCACAAUGGCACCUGCGUACCAGAGCCCUGCAGAUACAGCCCCCGAGAGAUGGAACCAGGAGGUGCCCCCCGUUCGCCAUGGCAACAUCUGUUUGCGGACAAAACAUAUCAGGAAGCACAGAAAAAAUGGAAACAGCUAUUAACGGGUGGAUAUGGAGCCUAUGACGAUAAUUUCAAAGUUUUGUUAUCUAGGAACGUUAGGCAAGCACGUGGUUUUAAAAAUUAAUGAAAGCUAAACCGUUUGCAGCAAAAAAAAAAAAAAAAAAAAGGAGCAGCCCCCCUGCCCUGCACGUCCAAAACGCCCGCCCCCAACUACAGAUUUUUUUUGGGUAUUUGUCUCCAAUUUUCUAAAUAACCGAUUCACACGGGUACUUCUCGAUUUCUGACUUUUAACUUCUGACCUUAGAAGAUGAGACUGUGUCUUCUGCGCACACGCAUAUAUCCUCCCCUCCAUCUUCCGAACAUAGCUACGUGAUCAUUUUUUUGUUAAUCAAACUUGUGGGUGCCUGGGUGGCUCAGUUGGUUAAGUCUCUGUCUU